rnacentral:rRNA from 1 species
AACGAACGCUGGCGGCAGGCUUAACACAUGCAAGUCGAACGCCCCGCAAGGGGAGUGGCAGACGGGUGAGUAACGCGUGGGAAUCUACCGUACCCUACGGAAUAACGCAUGGAAACGUGUGCUAAUACUGUAUACGCCCUACGGGGGAAAGAUUUAUCGGGGUAUGAUGAGCCCGCGUUGGAUUAGCUAGUUGGUGGGGUAAAGGCCUACCAAGGCGACGAUCCAUAGCUGGUCUGAGAGGAUGAUCAGCCACAUUGGGACUGAGACACGGCCCAAACUCCUACGGGAGGCAGCAGUGGGGAAUAUUGGACAAUGGGCGCAAGCCUGAUCCAGCCAUGCCGCGUGAGUGAUGAAGGCCCUAGGGUUGUAAAGCUCUUUCACCGAUGAAGAUAAUGACGGUAGUCGGAGAAGAAGCCCCGGCUAACUUCGUGCCAGCCGCCGCUGUAACAC